AUGCCUUAAAGUAAUGAGAAAUGAAAAUAACCUACCCAGGAGAUCUUUGGUAGCUGGUAUUACACCAGGAGCAUUUCUGAAGGAGCACAGGUCGCUUCUGGGUGACCCGCUAACUUAGUGGGAUGUCUUGAGUAGUGAUCUGCACC
rnacentral:snRNA from 1 species